UAGGGAAUCUUCCGCAAUGGGCGAAAGCCUGACGGAGCAACGCCGCGUUAGUUAUGAAGGUCUUCGGAUCGUAAAACUCUGUUAUUAGGGAAGAACAAAUGUGUAAGUAACUAUGCACGUCUUGACGGUACCUAAUCAGAAAGCCACGGCUAACUACGUGCCAGCAGCCGCGGUAAUACGUAGGUGGCAAGCGUUAUCCGGAAUUAUUGGGCGUAAAGCGCGCGUAGGCGGUUUUUUAAGUCUGAUGUGAAAGCCCACGGCUAAACCGUGGAGGGUCAUUGGAAACUGGAAAACUUGAGUGCAGAAGAGGAAAGGGGAAUUCCAUGUGUAGCGGUGAAAAGCGCAGAGAUAUGGAGGAAAAAAAGUGGCGAAGGCGAAUUUCUGGUCUGUAACUGACGCUGAUGUGCGAAAGCGUGGGGAUCAAACAGG
rnacentral:rRNA from 1 species